rnacentral:tRNA from 1 species
UCCCUGGAGGUCCAGUGGUUAAGACUCUGCGCUUCCACUGCAGGGAGCGUGGGUUUGACUCCUGACUGGGGAC